AGUGAACGUUGGCGGCGUGGAUUAGGCAUGCAAGUCGAGCGAGAACCGUAGCAAUACGGGGACAGCGGCGAAAGGGACAGUAAUGUGUAGGUACCUACCUCCGGGUUCGGGAUAGCUGCGGGAAACUGCAGGUAAUACCGAAUAACGUCUCCGGACCAAAGGUGUGAUUCCACCUGGAGAGGGGCCUGCAUCCUAAUUAGCUUGUUGGCGGGGUAACGGCCCACCAAGGCGACGAUGGGUAGCGGGUGUGAGAGCACGACCCGCGUCAUUGGGACUGGAACACUGCCCAGCCACCUACGGGUGGCUGCAGUCGUGAAUCUUCGGCAAUGGGCGCAAGCCUGACCGGGCGACGCCGCGUGCGGGAUGAAGGCCUUCGGGUUGUAAACCGCUGUCGUAGAGGAGGAAAUGCAGGGGGGUUCUCCCCUCUGUUUGACCUAUUCUAGGAGGAAGUACGGGCUAAGUUCGUGCCAGCCGCCGCAGUAA
rnacentral:rRNA from 1 species